rnacentral:rRNA from 1 species
AGUGGCGAACGGGUGAGUAACACGUGAGCAAUCUGCCCCUGACUCUGGGAUAAGCGCUGGAAACGGCGUCUAAUACCGGAUACGAGCUGCGAAGGCAUCUUCAGCAGCUGGAAAGAAUUUCGGUCAGGGAUGAGCUCGCGGCCUAUCAGCUUGUUGGUGAGGUAACGGCUCACCAAGGCGUCGACGGGUAGCCGGCCUGAGAGGGUGACCGGCCACACUGGGACUGAGACACGGCCUAGACUCCUACGGGAGGCAGCAGUGGGGAAUAUUGCACAAUGGGCGAAAGCCUGAUGCAGCAACGCCGCGUGAGGGACGACGGCCUUCGGGUUGUAAACCUCUUUUAGCAGGAAAGAAGCGAAAGUGACGGUACCUGCAGAAAAAGCGCCGGCUAACUACGUGCCAGCAGCCGCGGUAAUACGUAGGGCGCAAGCGUUAUCCGGAAUUAUUGGGCGUAAAGAGCUCGUAGGCGGUCUGUCGCGUCUGCUGUGAAAACCCGAGGCUCAACCUCGGGCCUGCAGUGGGUACGGGCAGACUAGAGUGCGGUAGGGGAGAUUGGAAUUCCUGGUGUAGCGGUGGAAUGCGCAGAUAUCAGGAGGAACACCGAUGGCGAAGGCAGAUCUCUGGGCCGUAACUGACGCUGAGGAGCGAAAGGGUGGGGAGCAAACAGGCUUAGAUACCCUGGUAGUCCACCCCGUAAACG